UACAGAGGGGGCAAGCGUUGUUCGGAAUUACUGGGCGUAAAGCGCGUGUAGGCGGCCCGGAAAGUUGGAUGUGAAAGCCCUGGGCUUAACCUAGGAAGUGCAUUCAAAACUGCCGGGCUUGAGUUCUGGAGAGGAAGGCGGAAUUCUCGGUGUAGAGGUGAAAUUCGUAGAUAUCGAGAGGAACACCGAUGGCGAAGGCAGCCCCUGGGUCAAGAUUGACGCUCAUGCACGAAAGCGUGGGGAGCAAACAGG
rnacentral:rRNA from 1 species